AGGUAUUUCAAUCUACAGAAGUCACCAAACAUCAUUAGAGUACUGCAAUCAAAAAAGCCAGAGCUAAGAGUUUCCAAGAUUUGCAUUUUUCAACUCAUGUUUGUGUAACGUGCCUUCUCCACUAAGCUAUAAUUGAAGUGUGUUGUAAACAUACUACA